UGGGGAAUAUUGCACAAUGGGCGCAAGCCUGAUGCAGCCAUGCCGCGUGUAUGAAGAAGGCCUUCGGGUUGUAAAGUACUUUCAGCGGGGAGGAAGGCGAUAAGGUUAAUAAGCUUGUCGAUUGACGUUACCCGCAGAAGAAGCACCGGCUAACUCCGUGCCAGCAGCCGCGGUAAUACGGAGGGUGCAAGCGUUAAUCGGAAUUACUGGGCGAAAAGCGCACGCAGGCGGUCUGUCAAGUCGGAUGUGAAAUCCCCGGGCUCAACCUGGGAACUGCAUUCGAAACUGGCAGGCUAGAGUCUUGUAGAGGGGGGUAGAAUUCCAGGUGUAGCGGUGAAAUGCGUAGAGAUCUGGAGGAAUACCGGUGGCGAAGGCGGCCCCCUGGACAAAGACUGACGCUCAGGUGCGAAAGCGUGGGGAGCAAACA
rnacentral:rRNA from 1 species